rnacentral:rRNA from 1 species
CGAAAGCCUGACGGAGCAAUACCGCGUGAGGGAAGAAGGCUCUUGGGUUGUAAACCUCUUUUCUUAGGGAAGAAAAAAAUGACGGUACCUAAGGAAUAAGCAUCGGCUAACUCCGUGCCAGCAGCCGCGGUAAUACGGAGGAUGCAAGCGUUAUCCGGAAUGAUUGGGCGUAAAGCGUCCGCAGGUGGCAAAUCAAGUUUGCGGUUAAAGGUUCUGGCUCAACCAGAGACAGGCCGUGAAAACUGAUUAGCUAGAGUAUGGUAGGGGCAGAGGGAAUUCCCAGUGUAGCGGUGAAAUGCGUAGAGAUUGGGAAGAACACCGGUGGCGAAAGCGCUCUGCUAGGCCAAAACUGACACUGAGGGACGAAAGCUAGGGGAGCG